UACGGAGGGUGCAAGCGUUACUCGGAAUUACUGGGCGUAAAGCGUGCGCAGGCGGUUUGUUAAGUCCGUUGUGAAAGCCCCGAGCUCAACUUGGGAAUUGCAGUGGAUACUGGCAGGCUGGAGUACGGUAGAGGAAGGUGGAAUUCCCGGUGUAGCAGUGAAAUGCGUAGAUAUCGGGAGGAACACCAGUGGCGAAGGCGGCCUUCUGGACCAGUACUGACGCUCAGGCGCGAAAGCUAGGGGAGCAAACAGG
rnacentral:rRNA from 1 species